UUCGGAUUGUAGUCUGCAACCCGACUACAUGAAGCCGGAAUCGCUAGUAAUCGCGGAUCAGAAUGCCGCGGUGAAUACGUUCCCGGGUCUUGUACACACCGCCCGUCACACCAUGGGAGUCGGAAAUGCCCGAAGCCGGUGACCCAACCCGAAAGGGAGGGAGCCGUCGAAGGCAGGUCGGAUGACUGGGGUGAAGUCGUAACAAGGUACC
rnacentral:rRNA from 1 species